rnacentral:rRNA from 1 species
UGGGGGAUAUUGCACAAUGGGCGAAAGCCUGAUGCAGCGACGCCGCGUGGGGGAUGAAGGCCUUCGGGUUGUAAACUUCUUUUGCUCUGAACAAGGCGCACCAUGGGGUGUGUUGAGUGUAGGGGUUGAUUAGCGCUGGCUAACUACGUGCCAGCAGCCGCGGUAAUACGUAGGGCGCGAGCGUUGUCCGGAAUUAUUGGGCGUAAAGGGCUUGUAGGUGGCUGGUUGCGUCUGUCGUGAAAGCUCAUGGCUUAACUGUGGGUUUGCGGUGGGUACGGGCUGGCUUGAGUGCAGUAGGGGAGGCUGGAAUUCCUGGUGUAGCGGUGGAAUGCGCAGAUAUCAGGAGGAAUACCGGUGGCGAAGGCGGGUCUCUGGGCUGUUACUGACACUGAGGAGCGAAAGCAUGGGGAGCGAACAGG